rnacentral:lncRNA from 1 species
AUCUUCCACCAGGCAGCAUGUGGCAGGGUCUCGAAACAAAUGCUGAGGCAUAAACAGCCAAAUUUCUUAUUCCCAGCUUCAUCUGGGAAAGGAGAGAGUCGGUCACCGUACAGAGGUGCUACGUACCAUCCCUUGAACACACUCGCCUUAGCUGUAUUCACAUGAAAUAAAACUGCUGCUAAUUGCCUGCAAAUAGCUGCUUUCUCUUGAUCCUGUGAGUGCCUUGAGGUUCAGUUGGAAGUUUGAUACCGACUUUAUUGGAGCCUGAGAAUGAACAACAAAUUUACUGCUUAAUUAUUCCAAAAGGCUCUGCUGGCAGCAAGUGCCCUCUCCUGCCCCUGGUUUUGUCACACACAGGGCUUUUCUUAGGAAAGGAGCCUUUACCAAAUACAGACCUGGAUUCUGCUCUGUUAGAGUUUGUCUGAUGCUUUCCAGAAGGUGAACCUCCACACAUCAAUUCUGCAGAAGGGGUUAGAGGUCCGCUAAUACCAUCCUUGCUGAAAACAGCUGUAACUUGAAGAACAGCAACAGCUGGAGGUCAAGCAGCUAUCAUCCCUGAAAUAGUUGCCUUCUCACUGGUAUUGAAACUACUACUUGUCAUCAGCUAGAUCACUUCAAAACACUCCCUGUACUAUGAAGGGACUGACCGCUGUGAUAGACCAUGGUAAUUAAAUCUACAUAAUCUAGAGAGCCCCUGCAGAAAACUGAAAGUUUUGGGACACAAAACUGCAAGAGAGGUCCUGUUUCAAGGGAGAACAGGAAUGUUUAGUGGGAAGAUUAGCAGAAGGAAACAAGUCAUGGAUAUAAAAAGCAACCUAAGCUGAAGAGCCAGAACACCAAACUGAAAACUACCUUACCACCCCAAAUGCACACGCCUCAUUACUCUUGUAGCACCUGGCAGCUGCAUUGCUCUGGUUUAGGAGAGGGUUACUAGAUUCUACUGAGUGCAAAUUGGGUCAACAUUUGUGCUGUACUCACAUUUACAAUAGACACCAAAUGCUACACAAGUAUCAGAAUUGUUUUCAUUCAGACAAUUUCCAGGUGUCACAGCACCUAAAAGAGUAGAAAGCACUAUUUACUACCCUACAAUAACUAAUGCAAAAUUUCCCCUACCCAGUUUGUUGGAGUUGAAUUGUAUUCCCCUUCCCAGAAAUUAGUGACUGAUUUAGGAACCAUGGAUUCUGAGUGAUGAGAACUGGCCCUAUUGCUGCCCUUGUUGCCCCGCUGGGGCUGAAGCAGGCUUCUUACAGAAAUUCUUCAAACAUCAGGCAAGUACUAGAUGACUCAUUUUAAAAGCCUAAAUAGUGGUGUUGUUUUUUUUUCCAUUCAAUUACCUUCUAUCUCAUUUUUAUUAGCUACAUUUUUGAAGAUAGCUGUAAGACUCAAAUUCAUCAUGAUAAGAAUGAACAGAUACAGCUGAAGUGGUAGUUUGCAGAAUCAGUUUCUUCCCUGAGACUUACUAGAAAGUGCAAAUAUAGACUCAUUUAUUACAACCUUAAAUUCCAGUUGUUUCUAUAAAUGCUGAUUUCUGCAGAGGCUUUAAUCCUCCAUAUGGAGGCACUAAGCACCAGCUCAUUUUGUUCCUGGAAAAACUGGGGGAAAGCUUAUUUCAAAUUUCUAAUUAAAAUUCUUUCUUGCUGCAUAAGGAGUCCUGAUGGGAUUCCUCAGGGUAGUUGGAUGGGCUUUUGAUUGAAUUACAACUGGCCUGAUUGUGUGAAUAUUUCAUUAAAAUGUUCUGAACUGAAAACAGCAAUUAAUGACAACCUGAAUAAUAAAAAGCACUACUUUACCUUCAAUGCUUUCUUUUCCCACAGUUGAUUCAAAUUAGAUGCUUAGUAACUAGAAAAAAUAACAAACAAACCAACCUAGAAACAAACAACAACAAAAAAAAGAUUAAGCAGGAGUCAGUGCAGGGGAAGAGGAAAAGAGUAGAGCCAUCAUCAUUGGAAGUCAGAAGUGCUGUGGCUGGAGGCAAUGGUUGUAUAUGUGGCGCUGUAGCAGAGCUGUGAUCGUGAAGCAUAACUGUGCUGCUGAUCUGUCAUUUUUUCACUAUUCUACGCUAUCUUUUGUUUUGAUCCAAUCUCACCUACAGUAAUUUCAGCCUACCUUCUCUUGUAUUUAUCAAUAUCAUUGCUGAGUUUUACUGUACAUAACUACACUGUCCACUAGGACAAAUUUGGUUUAAAAAUUCCAGAAUAAAUAAAUUGGCCAAAC